AUUAUUGCACGCACAUGCACCCAGUAAAUAGCGUAAAAUAACUUGCUUUUUAGAUAAUUUUAAAUCAUAGAAUGACUUGUUUUUCAGAUAGAGAGAGUACACCACAUGGACCAUAGUCUAGAUCAGCAUCUUCCUCAAUCACUGGUAGAUUGACGUUUGACAGAGCACCAAGUCAAAAUAAACUCAUCAUGAGGAAUUGUUAGAAUUUGGGUCAACAAGGGAACCUGCAAAACAGACAAAAAGAAUAUGAAUUAAAACCUAAUCUUGGC
rnacentral:lncRNA from 1 species